CCCGGGGAGGGGGCCGGAGCGCGGCUCGGCUCGGCUGCGGAGCUCGGAGCUCAGGAGAGACCUGGGAACCAGGGCUGCCAGCCAGACAAACACCGUUAAGAGGAGACGUAACUUGUCAAAAAGUGAUCUCCCUCCUUCAGUUCAGUGACACCCUGAAAUGUUACUUAUCCCAGCAGAGCCGGAGGAUUGAAAGCAGCUACAUCAAAUCCCUGUGUCACUAGCAGGAAUGAACACAAACAUUCCCUGGUAUCUGAAGAGACGGUUAGUUUUACCCUUGGGAAAGGCGGUGGUGGUGUCAGAUAUAAAGAGUGAAACUCGAAACCAUCAUCAUAGUUAUGCCCACGGUGACUGCAAAAUCUUUCUAUAUUCCUCUUACCAUCAGUGUAUUGUUUUCUCUGGAGUCUAGACAUUGACUAGACCUUGACCAAGAAAUUUGGCUCUUGAUAAAAUAAUCGACUACCCCUGGUGAAGGCAAUGGACUUGAUACCCACUCGGGUGUCCCUACACAGGUUCACCCUUUUAGCCAUAGCUUUUAAUCAGGGCAAUAAAUUGAUAGGAACACUUGUAAAAUCCUUCCCCAGCCGGAGUCCUUCACCCACAUUCCUUAGGGCAUUGGGCCACCAUGUGGAUGUUUCAUUUCCGUCCUCAAUUUCACACAAUUUCCUUUGCACGGAUCCAUGAACAGCAAAACCUCCCUGUGUCUCUGGUCUGAGCCAGGGCGUUCGAUUCCAGUGAACCCUUCUCUCCUGCAAUGGUCAGACAGAAGGGCCGUGGCCACCUUCACCUCUGACAGUGAGAUAGUCCCUCUCCUCUUUCUUUACGCUGCUGUUGUUAGUCCAUGAAACAUCAGGGAUGGAUGCAAAGCUGAGCUCACGCACCAAUCCCCUGAAAAAUGUCAGUGCCGCAGAGAAAUCCUGCCCCCGGCUAUUGGCAUGAUCUGGUGGAGAUUCGAAUAGGAACAGGUCUGAAUUGUCAGUGUGGGGAAUGAACAACAAUCUACAGCAAUGUCGUUCACACAAACACAUUCUAAUCAUGCUCCAGCCGGAAGGGACAUGGCCAGGAACUCUUGCUGUUCAGCCAUGGACACACACCCCCCGAUCCACAGCCGUGGGUGUGCUGGGGGAGCGGGUCUGAGCGAACAACGUGAGAACUGAAUCAUUGUGUCGUGAACGACCCACCUGUUGAGUAAUUGUGGCUGAGUGGCUAAGGUGCUAGAUUAGAAAUCCGUUGGCGUUGCCCCACGCGAGUUCAAAUCCUGCCGAUUGCGGCAGCGUUAGGCUGUUGUCUUAGUCCCUGAGUAUCCACACUGCGAACUGGAGUCAGAUCUGGUCUCACUCUCAGGCCGUCUACACUUAAAACGCUGCUGUGACACUUUGGAGAAGACAGUGACUGGAGGGAUUGCUCAGUGGUUUACAGACCCUCCCGUGCCCAGCCAGCCAGUGGACGCGGGGAAAAGGUUGCGGGAAGCAGAGGCCCUUGGAAACGAUGAAAUACGGGGCCGUUCGGCAGGCAAG